AUGCAGGACAACCUAUCUCUAAGUAGUGCGUACAUUACUCUAAAAGAAAUGAAUCCUGGAUAAUUUUUGCAUUCAAUCAAGCAUCUUGU
rnacentral:pre_miRNA from 1 species